UUGAUGCCUUUUUCUUCCGCCAUUUUGUCUCUGAAAAAUGUCUUUAUUUUUUUUCGCGUUGAUGUUGGAGAAUUGUCUCUAAGAGAGCGAUUGGGAUGAUACUUUAAACUGUUUAAUUCAUCUCGGCAAGGAGAAUGAAAAACAAUGCCACGAAUAGAAGAGGAACGAACGCAGGAAGGGUUACUAACAAAUGUGAAAGACAUGGACAAACCAAAGAAGAGAUGGAGAGCAGUUUAUGAGAUUUACUGUUCUUACUGCCAAGGCUCUAUAUUGGAGAGACUGGCGAAAACCUCACAACUAGACUGACUGGACACAAGCGGAUGACAAGGAAAGGAGCUAUUAGAGAAAAAGACAGCUUCACAAGAAGUGAAAUAAUAUCAGGCAGUCCUUGAACCAAAAGUGCUUUGACUCUAGGAGGAAAAUAUCAAAAGUGGAGAUCAGCAAGAAUGAAAUUGGCUGACUCUUAGAUUUUCAACACACAAGAAUACCUUAAUUUUAUAACUUUGUUCAGAUGUAUUUCUUUCUUUAGGUUAAAAAAAUUUUGGUCACUGAUAUGAUUGAGUACAUUUUGUAGAAUAUGGUCUUUGGAGAGGGGGAUAGUUCAAGGUCUUGGAAGAUUCUUCCAAGAAUCUUGCAAGAUCUUUUACAAAUGUUGCCUUUGAUGUCAUUUUCCUCGAAUAGUUCUCACCAGAAUCUUACGAGAAUCUUACAAGAUCUUGUUAGAUUCUUGUAAGAUAAUACAAGUCCACAGCAAGAUCUUACAAAGAUUCAUACAAGAAUCUUACAAGAUCUUUGAAAAUUCUUAUAAGAAUCUUUGCGCA